ACCCUAUCAAACAUGGCUGCCUCCAUGAAGAACAUAACACUGUACAGAGCCAGAGUUUCCUCAGUCAAUUUCUAGAGUACAUAGUGAGUAUUUGUAAGAACACUUAAAAAAUAUCUUUCAAAAGGAUCAAAUAAUUGAAUGGAGUAUGAAAAAUCCCUAAAAUAAUACAUAACUGAAUGCAAACAUUUAUUUGAAAUGAUGUGUUGCAUAUGUGAUACAUCGGGAAUUUAUUUUUUUGUAUAUUAUAUGAUACACCGGGCAUUUACAGAAUAUACAGCUCAUUUAAAUUUUGGGCACUUUAAACAUUGCAAAUAACUUGAAUAUUGAAAAAUAAACAGUUGUUUGUGAUUUGUAUUGUUAUGUACAGUAAAUACUACACAAUUCAUUUCGAAAGAUUGUUUUUAUUUUUUGCUUAUCAAUGAAUAAUAUUAAAGUAAAUCUAUGUAUCACAUAUGAAACAUUGGGCAUUAAACACUUGCUUUACAGUUAAAUAAAACACAAACUAUCCUGAUAUCAAUAUACAGGUUUUGCAUUAGUAAUUCUGUAUUUUACAAAUAAAUCAUUCAUUUCUACUUUGGAUGUUUAUUUCUAAUGUUUAUUUAUUUUCUUAUCAGUGAAUGUGAAUCAUCUGACUCAUGAUUUUAAGACUUUAUAUCAACUAAAAAAAUCAAAAGCCUUCCACUGUUCAUGACUGUGAUUCUGACUCCUAAUAUAUACACCCCCCCCCCUCCCUCCGCCCUUGGAAGCAGCUUACAUCAAGGAGAGAAAUAGUAUAAAAAUCAUAGUGAUCCUCCUCUCAGGGAAUUGAAUUUAUGUGAAAUAACUGAAGAUGCAGACCAUUUAGAUGUACUACAUGUACCUCAGCUGCAAAACCAGGAAUGGAAUUGCUCAAACCAGCAGUACAAAGACCCAUACACUGAUUUUAAGGGAAAACCUGAGGAAGCUCCUCCUGAUAGAUUGCUUACUCCACUCCAAUUUUCAAACUCAUGGUUCCUGACCAUACGAUUUCAAAUACUAGUAUAUCUGACGCAAUGCAGAAAAAUUCCGUCCCCCUUUAGCCUUUUGUUUCAUAUCUAGGGCAGUAGGUGCAGGUUGAAGGAUGAUUUUUAUUAAUGUCAGGUGUAAUGCACCAUUUUGGUUUAAUUAAUUGUAAGCUUAGAUGUUGAAUGACCGAUCGGGAGAUUAAGAAGGUCAAAAAAUAAUUAACCAAUGAGUUUUAAGUAAAAAUUUCACCUGAUGUGACAGUUUGAAAUAAAUCCAAGAUGGCGGCGAUGGGUACCUUGUGUAUUACUAUUAUUAGGGUAUUUAUCUCUAUUAUGACAAAAAUUUAAAAUGUCAGGUGCCUGUGUGCUCAUCUUUGUCUAACAAAGACAGAAACUGUUUUACAGCUUUCUCAUGAAAAUGAAACAUUCAACAAUGCUUCCCCAUUAGUGCCAUAUAUAUGAGUUGUUCAGAUUUGACAAUUGGUUAUUCUAGUUUGACCUAUUGCUGGUUAUACUUAAAAAUUUUAAGUCUGUUUUUUGUUGAUUUUUUAUAAUUGUUGUCAGUUAUUAAAAUAUUUUAGCAAAUUAAAUGUAUUUUCAAUUUG
rnacentral:sRNA from 1 species